AGAAGCAUCAAAAUUAGGUGACAUGCAAAUGAUUCAAGUAUCCUAGCCUACAGACAACCAGAAUCCACCCUAAACAAUUCGACUUUCUGAUGACUACACUUCUGAACUGCACUUGAUUGAUAGAACCCACCAGCAAUGUUAACUGAAAUCCACCGGGUGAGACAAGUGUGACUUCCAAGCCCAAAAAUCUGGGAAUGUAAAAGAAAUUAUGACAAAAAUGUCACAUAUUUCAUUCACAAAACCAUGUUACAAAAACACAAUAUAAAGGUUUAAUUUCUAAUGCCAAUGUCUACCAAAAUCUUUACACUAUCAAUCAAUAAGAAAUUGGUUAACCCUAAAUUACUAAUUUUUCAAAGUAUGUAAUACAAUUAUCAUAAUCCUACAUACAAUACUAACAAGACAAACUAACAUAAGUACUAAAUUAAUUAUAUCCGAUGUGACCUUUAUUCAAAGAAUUAUGUUUGAAUUUUAAUUAUAAUUUUUUAUCAGCCAAAAAUUUUUUGUUACAAAUUUUAUAUUUGAAUCCCAAUACCACAUAUAUAACUUUUAACCCCAUUUUUUAAAUCUAAGAGAAACUGUAUAUUUUCUUUUUGUCUAAUUCACCUUAAUUAGGGCAUUUAUAAUCACAUUACGUUAAAUGAUUGAGAAUUUGAACUUACCAUAAUAGAACCUAUUUCCGUGCAAUAGCAAGA
rnacentral:lncRNA from 1 species